rnacentral:rRNA from 1 species
UACAUGGGGUGCAAACGUUGCUCGGAAUUAUUGGGCGUAAAGAGCGCGUAGGCGGUUAUCUAAGUCGGACGUGAAAGCCCUCGGCUUAACUGAGGAAGUGCACCCGAAACUGGGUAGCUAGAGUACUAAAGAGGGUCGCGGAAUUCCCGGUGUAGAGGUGAAAUUCGUAGAUAUCGGGAGGAACACCGGUGGCGAAGGCGGCGACCUGGGUAGAUACUGACGCUGAGGCGCGAAGGCGUGGGGAGCGAACGGG